GUCAUAAAUCAACCUCAAGGAGAGAGUAUGCUGAAUCCCUGUUGCAUAGCACUUAGAUCAUUCUUGUUCAGCUCGAGUGUUGGUAAUCUUUUGUCUUUGAGACUGAUGAGGAAUUAGUGAGAUUAGAAAAUAUUUAGAAAUUCAACAGAACUUUUGGGUCUGCUUUUUGUUGAUUUUCAAAUGAAAGUUCAAAUAAUUUGUACUUUCUGUCACCUACUACUUUAUAUUUGGAAGAUAUUUCCUGAAACAUCAGAAAUGUCAGCCUGCAGAGCAUACCUAGAGUAGUGAGCUGGAGAUUGCCUUUUUUGGAGCAGUGGGCAGCAAACUCUUUGGUAUCAGAGAUCUUGAGUAUUCCAGCUCAGCCUGAAAGGAAGGUGUGGAUCUUUGGAUAAUGUGAAGGACAUCUCAGAUCUGAUUUUUUCUCUGGAUGAAGGACUCAAUCUUACACCAGGAUUCACCAGGGGAGUACCUUCUGCUUAUCCAUUUAGACUGCAGUCUGCCUGGUGCCAGGCCCUGCCCAACUUCUUAGCGUAGAAAAUGUGCAUUCAAUUGCAUGUCUAAUUUGUUCACAAAUUUUCCACGAGUGUUGAACCAAAUCACACUGCAAAGACUAUGCCUAGUUAUGUGCCUAACUCAGCAUUUGCACACAAAAUUGCCUAAUGAGCAUGUGCAAUUAUGGCAAUUAGGCUUGUGAAUUAAGCAUGCAAAUACCCUAGCAUUUGGGUUAGAGAGUCAUAGCCCAUAUCACUAGGAAUAGCAUAACCUAUUUUAGAUACAAUGAAAAAGCCCGUCCACCUUUUCCAGUGUGACCACAUUCAUGAAAAGAGAGCACUGCAAGACCUUUGGCUUGGGGAGGAGAGACUACAAGCUCUGGGCAGAGACCACAAGGAAUCUGCAAAUGAAAUGAGACUUUAGGUGCUUCUGCUUCUCUGUUCCCAGAUGUCUCUUGCUCAUAAUGAAAUACCAGAAUGCUCUCACUGAGCAUACCUUUUCUUAAUGGUUUAGUUAUUCUAAGGCAGCCUCCAUCAGCAGAAAUUGCUGUAAAAAAAGUGGACAACUUUCUUUCUAUAUAGUCCUUUCUUCUAUAAAGAAAGUACAAUGCAGAACUACCCUAUGUCCAUGCAAAUGUCACUGCUGAAUUUGUUGGUUUCUAAGAUAAUUUCACUUUGAGGCAAUCCCAUUCUACUGAGGAAGGCACUGCUGGCUGGCUGCAGCACAAAUCCCAGUGUAAGGUAUGAAUUCAUUUGGCAGCUUUCAGAACUGAGAGUUUUGCAUCAGUUAUUGCUGCUUUAGUGAAAUAAGGUUAACAAACACAGAGGUGAGCAGGUGGUCAGAGAUAAACAGGUGAGGAGCAUAUUUCUGUAAUAAAGAAAAUUCUUGGGAAGGAAACCAUACCCUCCCCCUCCCCCCCAAAAUUUCUACUUCAUUAAGGUGAUUUCGAACUCACUGGGAAACCAAGGACUCGGUUGCUGAUCAGCGCAAACAAAAAUAAUCCAGGUGGCAAGUCUGAUGAGAUAUGACCUUGUUCAAAAUCAAUAGACUGUUCCCCUUCCACUGAGCACAACCGACUCUCGAAUGAGUUUACUUCAACAGAGGCAUUUCCCUCACAACAUUAACAUUUUAAUUGCUUGUGCAGGAUUUUCUGGAAAAUUAACCCAGUGCAGGUUGAGCGCCGGGUGAGGAUGCUGGGCGCAGGGCUGGGAGCGCAGGCGGUGCUGCGGGGAGCUGCAAACACAUACCGCCACCUAAAGGAAAGAAACCUGCAGGAAACCACGGAAAGCUGCUCCCUUGGACUCUGUCAGAGCUGAUUAAAACAAAGAGGCUUAAUUUACUCUUUGCAGCCUGCCUCCCUGCUGCCUUCCGAAGGGCUCUCUCUCUGGCAAAGCAAGACAAGUCCAUCAGCAUCAUGUAGUCUCUGCCACAGGAGCAGUAAUGUGAUGGUUGCACACUUGACAGUGGACUCGGGGUAACUUCUCAAGUUGUCACAACUUUGUGUGUCUAUGGAGUCUUAUAGCAGGGCCACAAAUUAGGUGAAGCCAGGUCAUGUGCUGAGGGAAACCUGUGAUGCUUGAGGAAGGCUCUGCUGGGAAGCAAAACCCCACCUGGGCUGCGGCACCAGGAUGUGGCAUCGCUCCCACUCCUGCUGCCAGAUUCUCCAGGGCAGGGCCAGCUGGGAACAGGAAGAAAGCUCAGGCCCAUACAUCAGUAAUGGGUGGAUGGGGAGAAUGGGUGGCAGGUGCCAAUUUUGUAAGCCAAUGAACAUCUGUGUUUAGGUACUGCUUUCAAGCCCAUGCAGCAUCUGCAUUUCCAGUGAAAGGCACCAGCAUCUUGCUCUCUUCCAUGUCUAUAACAUUGCUUAAUGGGUUGGAGGUAAAUGUAACAGGGAAGGAAUGAAAAGACGGAUUCUCAAAUGGAUUAAGGUACAGUAAAGCACUGUUUGAAAACCUGAAUAUAGCUUCUCAUUAAUUAACACUACAGCUGUAUGGACAUGGUCAUAAUAAGUGCUGGAAGGAGCACUGUCUUGUAGGGAAAACAGUUCAUGAUUUUUCAAAUAGCUUUCUGUGUAGACUUAAACAAAAAGACAUUUACUCCUCUGUGCCUUAAUUUUUACAUCUGAUUAGAGACAUUAUGAUUAAAGCUGAUGAAACAUUUUCAAACUGGUGACUGGAGAAGUUGGUUCUGGUUAAUGGAAUAUUUCACAUCUGUUCCUCUGAUGGGAUCAAGCCAAGUUGUCUAUUUCUAAAGGAUAGAAAAGGAUUUAUUUGAAAUUUAUAUAUUUUAAUUUCAUGUUACACUUAUAUAUAAAUUAACUUACUAUAUUAUUCUAUUGAAUUGCUGAAUAUCAGAUGUAUACCCUGUAUGUAUUAAAGCAUUUUAAUAUCAUGCCUCAAUGUUUUUUACAUUAAAUCAGUGAACUAGUUUUUUAUUUGUUAAUUAAAUGUUUCAGCUUUGUCAGAACUAAAUGCUCUUGCAAAGUUAUUGGAAAGUUCUUUUCUGCCCUUUAUCUUCUGAUUUUGAAACACCUUUGAAGGUAUUGGAUCCCCUUUUUCUGAUGUUCCUGCUGCUUUCAAUGUGACUAGAGCCAAGGAUCAGGUACUCUUGGUAUGUUUUGGGGGCUAUGGCAAAGUACUGCCAAUGAAUGUCUAUUAGGCACAGUCAGUGCUUCCCUGGCACCAUCUGCAACAGUAGUAGUCCCUUUACAUGCCAGCCACCAUCCAGCUUUUCUGUCAUUGCUUCUCUGUAUUAGGUCUGACUGAGCAGAAGUUAAUAUUCCCUGUAGCAGCUCUCACAGCACCGCUCUUCCUACCGGUAGCUAGAAAGGUGUUGAUAACACACCAGUGUUUUGGCUACUGCUGAGCAGUGCUCACACAGCACCAGGGCUACCUCUUCAAUAUUCUACCCUCAUCAGUAGGCUGGGAGUGGACAAGAUCUUGAGAUGGGACACAGUCAGGCCAGAUGACCCAAACUGGCCAAAGAGAUAUUCCAGAUAUAAAAACUAAGAGGAAAGGGUAGAGUACCUGAGGUUCUUGUUCAUCCUUAUGAACACUUUAAUACCACUAAUUAUCAAUGUAGCAUAGUAUGUGGUUUGUGGAAUCUGGUGUCAUCCUGGUGUAAGAGAAGACAAUUUUUGGGUCAGGUGAUACUGAAAUGUGUCCUGAGGCAAGAGAUCUCUGGGUGGCAGGGCAUGUGAAAGGAUUUGAGCAGGUUUCUAGGAUGGUUGUCACCUCCCACAGCCUGGAACUUUACACCUGAACAGGCAAGCAAUCCUGAUAAAUUGACAUGCCACCUGACAGAAGAGUGCCUUCCUCACCCCAAUGAAAACGUUUCCAUCACUGUACUGGUGUCUGAUCUGUGCCCAUUGAGCCACAGUUCAGUACUCUCAGAGGACUGUGGUUGAGACAGAGAUCCAAACAACAACUACAGUCACUGUCCCCGUAGUGGAAAAGAAAGUUGACUAAGAAAACAAUGGAUCCACACAUCGGUUAGAAGCAGAGAAAGAAGAGGAAAAGUUUGUUCAAGAAGCUGAUCCUGAAGGAAUGAGAGAAUUCCGACAGGAAGCAGAGACGACCCGAUUCCUGACCUCAUCAGAACUUCGGGAUGUAUAAGAUAUUUGUCUUCCAGAGCAACUACUACAUAUACUGAAACCUUAUUUCUCAGGAACUAUCUGUGCAUCACCUGCUGAUUGGAAGUAGAGAAUAAAUAUUUUGUUUUCCUUUGCUUCUGUGCAUAGCCUUUGCUUUUGCUUUAUUAAACUGUAUUUAUCUUGA